rnacentral:rRNA from 1 species
UAGGGAAUCUUCCACAAUGGACGCAAGUCUGAUGGAGCAACGCCGCGUGAGUGAAGAAGGUUUUCGGACCGUAAAGCUCUGUUGUUGGUGAAGAAGGAUAGAGGUAGUAACUGGCCUUUAUUUGACGGUAAUCAACCAGAAAGUCACGGCUAACUACGUGCCAGCAGCCGCGGUAAUACGUAGGUGGCAAGCGUUGUCCGGAUUUAUUGGGCGUAAAGCGAGCGCAGGCGGAAGAAUAAGUCUGAUGUGAAAGCCCUCGGCUUAACCGAGGAAUUGCAUCGGAAACUGUUUUCUGAGUGCAGAAGAGGAGAGUAGAACUCCAUGUGUAGCGGUGGAAUGCGUAGAUAUAUGGAAGAAUACCAGUGGCGAAGGCGGCUCUCUGGUCUGCAACUGACGCUGAGGCUCGAAAGCAUGGGUAGCGAACAGGAUUAGAUACCCUGGUAGUCCAUGCCGUAAACGAUGAGUGCUAAGUGUUGGGAGGCUUCCGCCUCUCAGUGCUGCAGCUAACGCAUUAAGCACUCCGCCUGGGGGAGUACGACCGCAAGGUUGAAAC